UACGAAGGGGGCUAGCGUUGCUCGGAUUGACUGGGCGUAAAGGGCGCGUAGGCGGUUCGUACAGUCAGACGUGAAAUUCCUGGGCUCAACCUGGGGGCUGCGUUUGAUACGUGCGGACUUGAGUGCGGAAGAGGGUCGUGGAAUUCCCAGUGUAGAGGUGAAAUUCGUAGAUAUUGGGAAGAACACCGGUGGCGAAGGCGGCGACCUGGUCCGAUACUGACGCUGAGGCGCGAAAGCGUGGGGAGCAAGCAGG
rnacentral:rRNA from 1 species